GCCUGGUUGACUCAGUGGGCUAAGCAUCCGAUUUCAGCUCAGGUCAUGAUCUCGUGGUUCGUGGGUUCGAGCCCCACAUCGGGCU
rnacentral:tRNA from 1 species